GACGAACGCUGGCGGCGUGCUUAACACAUGCAAGUCGAACGGAAAGGCCCUGCUUUUGUGGGGUGCUCGAGUGGCGAACGGGUGAGUAACACGUGAGUAACCUGCCCUUGACUUUGGGAUAACUUCAGGAAACUGGGGCUAAUACCGGAUAGGAGCUCCUGCUGCAUGGUGGGGGUUGGAAAGUUUCGGCGGGUGGGGAUGGACGCGCGGCUUAUCAGCUUGUUGGUGGGGGAGUGGCUUACCAAGGCAUUGACGGGUAGCCGGCCUGAGAGGGUGGCCGGCCACAUUGGGACUGAGGUACGGCCCAGACUGCUACGGGAGGCAGCAGUGGGGAAUAUUGCACAAUGGGCCGAAGCCUGAUGCAGCAGCGCCGCGUGCGGGAUGACGGCCUUCGGGUUGUAAACCGCUUUCGCCUGUGACGAAGCGUGAGUGACGGUAAUGGGUAAAGAAGCACCGGCUAACUACGUG
rnacentral:rRNA from 1 species